UUCAGAGUAGGAUGUCUAAAUUAGUAUACCUGUACAUUUUCCAGUACUACAAUAAAAAGUCUGUGUGGAUAUAUCUCUUCCAUGUAGGCUGGUAAAUGUUUAUGUCAAUCUUGUUUCUGAUGUUUAAGCCUAUAAGGCUGUCAGGCAUUCCUGCUUCUGUUGAGCGUUCCUGUAACUGCUUCUCAUAACUGAAAGGUUUGGUGCCUGCAUAGCUGGACCAGUCACUGAUCCUUGUUAUUUUUUCUGAAGUGGUUCAGUGCCACAGUGCCCAACAAAACAGAGCUUGACUUACACAAUGAGCUCAACACAAAUCACAACUGUGGAACACUUGCACCUUUUGCCUCUUUGGAGGAAAUGCAUACGUUUGGGAAUCAUGGAAAAUAAUGAACAAUCAACUCAUUUCAAACACCAUGUCUGCAGAGUUUGGAAAAUAUAGUGUGGAAAUGGACGUCAGCAUAGAUAAACUCCAUGGCUGCUGAUUUUCCUUCUCUUCCAUAUAUUUGAAGACUGAGUGUCUGAGUGUGAAAAAGCUAGUACAACAGUUUUCACUUCU